UCGUUGCAAAGCCUAACUAGGCGGACGAU
rnacentral:sRNA from 1 species